GACGAACGCUGGCGGCGUGCUUAACACAUGCAAGUCGAGCGGAAAGGCCCUGCUUUUGUGUGGUGCUCGAGUGGCGAACGGGUGAGUAACACGUGAGUAACCUGCCCUUGACUUUGUGAUAACUUCAGGAAACUGGGGCUAAUACCUGAUAGGAGCUCCUGCUGCAUGGUGGUGGUUGGAAAGUUUCGGCUGUUGGGGAUGGACUCGCGGCUUACCAGCUUGUUGGUCGGGUAGUGGCUUACCAAGGCUUUGACGGGUAGCCGGCCUGAGAGGGUGACCGGCCACAUGACGACUGAGAUACGGACCAGACGGCAACGUGAGGCAGCAGGGGAGAAUAUGACACAAUGGGCGGAAGCGUGAGGAAGCAACGCCGCGUGCGUGAUGACGGCUUUCGGGUUGUAAACCGCUGUCGCCUGUGACGAAGCGGGAGUGACGGUAAUGGGUAAAGAAGCACCGGCUAACUACGUG
rnacentral:rRNA from 1 species